CAGCAGCCGCGGUAAUACGUAGGGUGCGAGCGUUAUCCGGAAUUUUGGGCGUAAAGAGUCGUAGGCGGUUUGUCGCGUCUGUCGUGAAAGUCCGGGGCUUAACCCCGGAUCUGCGGUGGGUACGGGCAGACUAGAGUGCAGUAGGGCAGACUGCAAUUCCUGGUGUAGCGGUGCAAUGCGCAGAUAUCAGCAGGAACGCCGAUGGAUAAGGCAGGUCUCUGGGCUGUAACUUACGCUGAGGAGCGAAAGCAUGGGGAGCGAACAGGAUUAGAUACCCUGGUAGUCCAUGCCGUAAACGUUGGGCACUAGGUGUGGGGACCAUCCACGGUUUCCGCGCCGCAGCUAACGCAUUAAGUGCCCCGCCUGGGGAGUACGGCCGCAAGGCUAAAACUCAAAGGAAUUGACGGGGGCCCGCACAAGCGGCGGAGCAUGCGGAUUAAUUCGAUGCAACGCGAAGAACCUUACCAAGGCUUGACAUGUUCUCGAUCGCCGUAGAGAUACGGUUUCCCCUUUGGGGCGGGUUCACAGGUGGUGCAUGGUUGUCGUCAGCUCGUGU
rnacentral:rRNA from 1 species